AGCACCUACAUUUUUGUACCGUAUUUUGUAUAUAAUUUAGGCUAACAUUAUAAUUCUUACACAGUAAAAUGAGUCCUUUCGUUCCCUCACUGCAGAAGCAAUACAUGUAAUAGUCUGUAAGAAUUAGUGUUUUCUAACACGUUCCUUACUUUUAAGUAAUUAUACAAACAGGAAAAGGUGAGCUCAGUAUUUUCUACUGUGUAGCUUGAAAUUAUUUGGCAAUUGUUAGAUUUUUGUAAAACAACAAAUGAUGAUAAUUUGAAUGUGCAGUAUGAAUGAUAAUUGUACUUUUCAAACAAAUUAUCGUUUGUUGAAGGUACCUGAGAAUGAAAGAAAUAAGACAGAGAGAGUGUGUCAAGAGUUCCUUAAAUUACAACUUUAAGCUGUUUUAACUCAUGCUUGAAGCAUUUAGGAUUCAAGGAAAUAUGGGUUAUAGGCAAUUGUGAGUAGUACAGUUACCCUCAGUCAUUAGCAGGGGGUAGGUUCUAAAAUCCCCAGUGGAUGUCUACAAGCACAUAGACAGUACCAAAUCCUAUAUAUACUGUUAUUUUUUUUCUACCCAUACCUAUCUAUGAUAAAGUUUAAUUUAUAAAUUUGGCACAGCAAAAUAUUAUCAACAAUAAUGGAUGAUAAAGUUGAAUGAUUAUCAUUAAGUAAGCAUGCUUCCUCUCUCUCUCAAAAUAUCUUUAUACUUUUAGAUUGCUGUUGACUGCUGGUAAAUGGAACUGCAAAAGAUGAAAUCAUGAAUGAGAGAGGACUACUGUAUAUGUAAUUUGGUAAUUAAAGAGCGAGAGACUACUGCUUCGUAUUGUUAUGAAGGGGAGAGCAGGAGGAUCCAAGAUGUAGUACAGAUGUUUGACACUCAUAGUGAUGAAAGCAGAAAGCAGGUGAAUAAACAGAUAAUGAACUGGUAUCUUGAUAAACAAAAGAUAUAACUAGUUAUCAGAAAAUUGCUUUCUUGAUGUAAGGGCAUGAGGAAACUUAUUCACAGAAAAUAAAAGUCUUUUAGAUGGCUUUAUUGGCUGCAAUGGGGCUGUGAUAUUCAGGGAUAUACAGUGAAAAUAAAUCCAUGAGCUAAGAAGCUUCUUGUUGGCUUAUUCCAACCUUCCUUUAUUCAAUUAUCCACACUUUGAAUUAAUAAAUACUAUGUUUCUGGUCUUGUUCAAGGUGUUGGGGUUUCAUCUAACAGGAAAUGGUGUACUACAACUCAAUUCUUGUGCUGUCUUAGUACGUUCCUGCUGCUAUAAGAAAAUACCUUAAGCUGGGCAAUUUAUAAAGAACAGAAAUUUAUUUCUCAUAGUACCAAAGACUAUGAGUCCAAGAUCUAAGCAUGGGAAGGUUGAGUGUUUGGUGAGAGCUCAGUCUCUGCUUCUGAAAUGGCACUUUGUUGCUGCAUCCUCCAGAGUGGAGGAACACUGUGUUGGUGGAAAGGAUAGAAGAAGUGUGGAAGGGACAGAAGAAGUGUGGAAGGAUGAAGGCUGCAUGAAGCCUUUGGUAUAAGGAUCUUAAUCUAAUUCAUGAAAGAAGAACCCUCUGACCUAAUGUUUUCUUAAAGGCAACACCUCUUAAUAUUAUCACAUUGGUCAACAAGUUUCAACACCUAAGUUUUGGCGGGAUCACAUUCAAAACAUAGAAGAUUCUAACCACCCCCACCCCCCAAAUUUAGCACAUAUCCCACAGAUUAAGGGUUUGGUACUUCACGAGACUGCCCUUGUUUUAGAUGCCAGCCAUCAGUGGAGAGUCCUCGGGUCACCUGCACUUCUCACAAAAUGCCUACAGAUCGGGAAACAGUUGUGGGUAAUGAUUAUACAAUGAUACAAAUGGAUUGUCUGUAUUGCAUAAUUUAAAAUUUUCAAAUAAAGACAUAAGGGAUCAUGAAACAGAAUCCUACUGCAAGAAAAAUUUUAUUGAUUAAAUACUAAACUUGAAGAUAAAUGUUGACAACAGGGAAGAAAAUGUUCAGAAGUUUUUAUUCAUGAUGGGAGUAAGAAAAGGAAGAGAAGAGGGGUAAGAAUUUUAUCUAAAUGGCUCACUUUGUAGAACUUGAAACCAGUCGGAAAUAGGGGAUCUUGGUAGAAAAUAUAGUUCCUUGGUUCUAUAUAAUGAUAAUAAAAUGUGUCUGAUUAGAAUGAAAUCUCCGAG
rnacentral:lncRNA from 1 species